rnacentral:rRNA from 1 species
AUUGAACGCUGGCGGCAUGCCUUACACAUGCAAGUCGAACGGUAACAGGUUAAGCUGACGAGUGGCGAACGGGUGAGUAAUGUAUCGGAACGUGCCUAGUCGUGGGGGAUAACGUAGCGAAAGCUACGCUAAUACCGCAUACGAUCUCUGGAUGAAAGCGGGGGACCUUCGGGCCUCGCGCGAUUAGAGCGGCCGAUAUCAGAUUAGGUAGUUGGUGGGGUAAAGGCCCACCAAGCCGACGAUCUGUAGCUGGUCUGAGAGGACGACCAGCCACACUGGGACUGAGACACGGCCCAGACUCCUACGGGAGGCAGCAGUGGGGAAUUUUGGACAAUGGACGCAAGUCUGAUCCAGCCAUUCCGCGUGCAGGACGAAGGCCUUCGGGUUGUAAACUGCUUUUGUACAGAACGAAAAGGUCUCUAUUAAUACUAGGGGCUCAUGACGGUACUGUAAGAAUAAGCACCGGCUAACUACGUGCA